UACGAAGGGGACUAGCGUUGUUCGGAAUCACUGGGCGUAAAGCGCACGUAGGCGGAUGUGUCAGUCAGGGGUGAAAUCCCGGGGCUCAACCUCGGAACUGCCUUUGAUACAGCACGUCUCGAGUCCGGAAGAGGUGGGUGGAAUUCCUAGUGUAGAGGUGAAAUUCGUAGAUAUUAGGAAGAACACCGUGGCGAAGGCGGCCCACUGGUCCGGUACUGACGCUGAGACGCGAAAGCGUGGGGAGCAAACAGG
rnacentral:rRNA from 1 species